rnacentral:lncRNA from 1 species
GAAGUGCCACCAAAUUUAAAUCCUCACAAACUCUACCUCAUCACUUUCAAAACCUCUGACUUUCUCUUCUUCUUCUUCUACUUCUUCUAAAUCUUCAAUUAUCAAACCCUUAAAUCCUCACAAACUCUACCUCAUCACUUUCAAAACCUCCGACUUUCAAAACCUCCGAGGACGAACCGACGGACAUCGACCCCCCCUUUCAAGCCAUCUUACAAAUGUGUGAUUUAGAAGGCGUAGCGCAGCGCAAGGGAGCCGGAGUCAAACCGAACCGAGAGGUAGGGGAGCUUUCCAAAUUGUGAUCUAAGUCAGCGCCCGGGCAUGUCACGACCCCAUCACGUGAGGUAGGUCCUACCUCACUUAGAUUUUUCUUUUGUUGGUUCUAGCCGCAUACUGCACACUGUCUUCAAGAAAGGGUCCUCGGGUAGGAUCCCACACCGAGUCCCCGACCGCGCCGAGAACCAAGGCUGACCACCGGCCCAACAUACUUUCUCUUUCUCUUCUCUCCCUCUCUUGCUCUCCUCUUUCCUAGUCUCUUUCCUCUCUCAUUUUUCUCUCUUCCUCUGUUCUUCUCCUCUCUCUUGCUGUUUAUCUCUCUUUCUCUCUCUAAUCUCGGGACAACGACUAGGCUGCUGCCCCACCUCUCUCUCUCUAUCGGGAUAGCAGCUAGGCUGCUGACCCUUCUCUCCUCUUCUCUCUCCCUCUCUCCCUAGCCAAGAUAGCGGCUAGGUCGCUGCCCCUCUCCUCUCUCUCUCUCUCACUCUCUCUAGCUGCUUCCCCCACUCCCUCUCUCUUGUUUUCCCUCUUCCCCUCUCUUCUCUUACUCUCUCUCCCUCUCUCCCUCUCGUUCGCCUCUCUUUUUCAGCUCUUCCUCUCUCAUUUUCUCUCUCUUUCCCUCUUACUUCUCUCUUUCCCUCUCUCUCCCUCCUAUAUCUCACCUCUCUCUCCUUCACUCUACCCCACCCUCUUCAUUCAUGAUCUCUCUUGUCUCACUUAAACCACUCUUAUGGGGUUCUUUCGAGGAGUCCUUGAUAUGGUUUAAAACCUGGCGUCCAAUGACCUUGUGAAUCGUCUAGGGGUCAUCAUCUGUUAUUUUGGUUGGUGAUGGCAGAGGUAGAUCGUGGCUGCAGUUGGUUAGUGAUGGCGGAGGUAGGUUGUGG